rnacentral:rRNA from 1 species
GUUGAACGCUGGCGGCAGGCCUAACACAUGCAAGUCGAACGGUAACAGGAAGCAGCUUGCUGCUUUGCUGACGAGUGGCGGACGGGUGAGUAAUGUCUGGGAAACUGCCNGAUGGAGGGGGAUAACUACUGGAAACGGUAGCUAAUACCGCAUAACGUCGCAAGACCAAAGAGGGGGACCUUAGGGCCUCUUGCCAUCGGAUGUGCCCAGAUGGGAUUAGCUAGUAGGUGGGGUAACGGCUCACCUAGGCGACGAUCCCUAGCUGGUCUGAGAGGAUGACCAGCCACACUGGAACUGAGACACGGUCCAGACUCCUACGGGAGGCAGCAGUGGGGAAUAUUGCACAAUGGGCGCAAGCCUGAUGCAGCCAUGCCGCGUGUAUGAAGAAGGCCUUCGGGUUGUAAAGUACUUUCAGCGGGGAGGAAGGGAGUAAAGUUAAUACCUUUGCUCAUUCACGUUACCCGCAGAAGAAGCACCGGCUAACUCCGUGCCAGCAGCCGCGGUAAUACGGAGGGUGCAAGCGUAAAUCGGAAUUACUGGGCGUAAAGCGCACGCAGGCGGUUUGUUAAGUCAGAUGUGAAAUCCCCGGGCUCAACCUGGGAACUGCAUCUGAUACUGGCAAGCUUGAGUCUCGUAGAGGGGGGNAGAAUUCCAGGUGUAGCGGUGAAAUGCGUAGAGAUCUGGAGGAAUACCGGUGGCGAAGGCGGCCCCCUGGACGAAGACUGACGCUCAGGUGCGAAAGCGUGGGGAGCAAACAGGAUUAGAUACCCUGGUAGUCCACGCCGUAAACGAUGUCGACUUGGAGGUUGUGCCCUUGAGGCGUGGCUUCCGGAGCUAACGCGUUAAGUCGACCGCCUGGGGAGUACGGCCGCAAGGUUAAAACUCAAAUGAAUUGACGGGGGCCCGCACAAGCGGUGGAGCAUGUGGUUUAAUUCGAUGCAACGCGAAGAACCUUACCUCA